GCAGGCUGUCGGUCGGCUUGGCCCGGCCGAUCAGCUCGGCCUGCUCGGCGGUGAAGGCGAUGUCCGCGCCGUUGCGGAUCCGGCGUGCCUCCG
rnacentral:tRNA from 1 species